AGGGAAGAUGCGGUCCUCCUGGGUGCAGUGAAUGUAGUUGCCACGAAAACUUUCCUUCAAGUUUUCCAAGGAGCCCUUUCUCAUGUCCCUCCUCACGGAGCAUGGUUAGAAGAUGGGAGCAAAGAAUCUCAUUUAUCGAGCUCCAGGUCCUUAAUGCUGACAGCUGGAAGGUGAGCUCCGUAUUCCAGUCCUGAAAGAAUUUAGAAAAACAAACAAACCAAAACCUGGUGGUUAUGAAGAUCUCAUGGCCAAAAGCUUUGAAAAAGAAUCCCCCAGGGGUUGUGAAGCUGCUCAGCAUAGAGCAACAAGGCUCUGAGCGUCCUGGUCUUGAGUCCAACAGACCUGGGCUUGGCUACGGCUUCUGCUCCUCCAAACCACGUGACCUCCAGGACAUGCUGAAC
rnacentral:lncRNA from 1 species